rnacentral:tRNA from 1 species
AGGGCUGAUUAUUCCUUUUGCAACGGAGUUAAGCUGAAUUCUAGCCAGCCUUU